GUAACGUUUUUAGACAUUUUUUCCGUCAAAAUCGACUGAAAUUUCAGUGUAAACCAACUGUAUGAAUAUUCGGAACGCUACCCAGCAUCUUUCAAAUUCAAACAUUUGAAAUGACAACCAUUCCAAACAACUCUGUGCCGAACGAACUGAAUAAACAUCUUACAAGAAUUCGAUUUGUGUAUUGAUUUCGUUUUGGGCGCGUGAAUUAGAAAGAAACAGCACAACCGACACAUCUCUUCCAUUUCACACAACUCAACACAACACAACACAACAGACUCAUUCGCUACUGUGGCUUGGUGUUGUAUUUGUUUAUUUCGGUUCCGUUAUGAGAUUAUAUUUCGCAUGAGUUUCUGCAUCGACACCAGUCAAAUCCGAAUUUCGUCACGAAAAUUAGCGCGUUGAAGAGAGUUGUCACAUACACACAGUGUGCAGAUACGUGUUUGCAGUAUUUAUGUCACAACCAAAUUCAGCUUGAUGUGUCAAACUGAUGCCGGUUGCACAUUCACAUUGAUUUGAGCAUUUGGAAAGGGUUCAAUAAUGGGUAGAAAAAGGAUAGGGGCACAUGCCAUUCGUGGCAAUAGGUCGAAACCGCGGAAAGUUGAAGAUGGCAAGCAAAAGGAGGAGAAAGCAUACUUUGCAAUCAAGUUGGCCGCCGCUAGUAUUGUUCGACCGGAAUAUCGUGAUCGUAUUCUGCCAUGGAUCACAAAAACCAGCAUAAAAUGCACCGAAAUAUCUGAAUUGGCGUCGCUUUUAUUCCUCAACAAAGUCAGAGAUGCCACUGAACAGGCCAUCAUCACCGGCAAUUGGGAAUAUUUCGACGAUGGCGAUGGAAUGCAUAUCAUCGAAAAUUGCUUCUUUGCUGUGUUGCGGCGCUACAAGGAAGAAAAUUUCAUUAUGGAUCCAUGGUUCCGGCAUUGCUUUGAGAAUGUGGACACCGAGAAUCGCUCCGCAUGGCCAAACAAUAAUUACUUCGGCAACAUGAUGAAAUAUUUAUUCCAACAAUAUGGCCGUAAUAUGAAGACGAAUUUGGAUACACAUGCACAGAAACGAUUGCGGUAUUUCUUGAGAUUGAAGGCAUUCAGACAGAACUACACUAACCGGAUUCGUGGCCUACCGGACACAUACGAUGAACGAGAUGUGGCAAAUGCAGUGUCAUGGGCAAUGAAACGAUAUGACGCAACAAGAGGUGAUGCGGAUCGCUUGGCCAAACGAGAUCGAUUGCUGCUUUAUGUUCGAGAUAUUCGCGGACCGACUGACGAUGAUAUCGCCAAAUUCACCAAAGACGAAGAUACAUGGUUUGCAUCAUUGCCAAUGUGGUUGAUCAUGCAAUCAGAAAUCGAAACGCACCUCAACUGGGUUGAACAACACCACGACAACAUCGUGCAAGUCAUUGCGUUACCAAACAUCAAGAAUUUGGUGGUCAUCCCAAUCUGUCAUCACACGCGAAAGGCAGUGAGAAUAGACGCUGAUGUUUUGUAUCAUAUGAUGUGCGGAACCGGUACCAUUCCACGUGAUGAAUAUGGUCGGCAACACUCAGGAAGCGACGUCACGUUAAAAUCAAAUCAAGCGUAUUAUUUCAAUAUGAUUUUUAACAUGGAGAAAAUCAAUCGAGUGUUGAAAGCAAACAAAAAAUUCGAACAUAUUCUCAGCGAUGGUGUAUCGGCAUCGAUUCUGUACUCAGUGAAGAAAACCGUAGUCGACAAGUUAGUGGAAGAUGGUUUGGUGCGUAAACGGUACUCUGAUGGCUUCUAUGUCUAUGAAUUGGGCAUUGAUUGGGGUAUGAAGACGUGGAAUGCAACCGUUAGGCGACGAAUUAAUAAUGACAAAGAGCGAAUUCAUAAUGGCAAAGAGAUGAAUUUCACAAUCAACAGCAAGAAGUAUCAUUAUUGCACCGGAGAAGGAGUGCGUAAGGAAAAGAGAGAGCGAUGGACUCGUGCCUUUGGGCAGUUCGAAGAGAGUGAUCGAAACAACCGAGCGCGAUAUGACCGAAUGCCAUCACCAAAAGGAAGCAAUUGGCGUGACUACAUACGGCAUCGAUUGACCAUCAUGAAGAAAGCCAUUGCAGUGUACACAACCGAAAAGUACACACGUUUAAGUUUUGAUCAUUACAUCGAGUCCAAUCGGGUCAGUGACAAGGUGGCCGAAUUGGUGGCAAUGCUGACAAAUCACAAACGAUGCAUCAUUAACAUUGGAGCUUCCCAACCACCUGCAAAUUCACCAAUACAGAUCAAGAAACACGUUCGAUGCCCGGGCGUGCGGAAAUUGGUGAAGAGUUUCAAGAAAAUGGAAGGCAAUGUCAUACGAUUUGUGAACGAAGCCAGAUCAUCACGAUUGUGUGCCAGAUGUUUCGAACCAUUUCCAUUGAGUACAUUGAACGAUCGUGUCAAGGUGUGUGUAUGGUGUGAACCCGAUCAAAAUGAUUGGCCUGAUGGAAUGAAGCUACCAGAGAAAAUUGUAGCGGCAAAGAGCAAGCGGAAGUUACGAUCAGAGCGACGAGCGAUGCGGAAAGCAGCAGUGCAGAAUCCAAAUCAACCCCGUGGUUUUGUGUCUAAGGUGAUUUGCUACCGUAAAAACUGGCAACAAAACGCGGCAAACGGUAUGGAUGACAAUGUUGAAGAGCGCAGAGGUGUAAUCAUUCACGACGCUGAACUCGGUAUCAUCGAGUACACAGAUGAAUAUGUGCCCGAAGACCCUGUUGACGACUCUCCAGUACUGAAGACAGUUUGGCAACGUGACAUUUCGGCUGCAAAAUUGAUCUUGUACAGAGGGCAUUGCGAACUCUUUGGACAUCGGCUGCAUGAUGCGUUCACGCCUCGUGUAUCCAACUCGAUUCCGAGUCAACUUCAACAUUCAUUAAUAUCAAUAGAGCCGCAAUUUAUGUUUUAUUUUUCAAAAGAAUUUAUGUAACAGUAUGUUAUUUGUAGUUGGUUGAGGUCUUAGUCUCCCAGACAUCAUCGAUACCAGAUAUCGAUGGCUAUCUAUAUUCUAUAGUCUAUAUAGAUGUAGGUAGAGUACAGGAUAAUUCCUGUAGGCCGAACAUUCGAUUUCAAAAAUGUAAGUGUGGAUACGCAAAAAAGGGAUAUAGAUAUUUAAAUCAACCAGCCUCAAAGAUAUUGAAGAAAAAAACGUUGCGGUACGAUCACGUCAUAAAUCAUAUUAUGAUGGCUUAUCUCUUGGUCAAAUCACAUUCGAGAUUGUGUCGAUGGAUUUAAGAAGCGCUUAACCCAUUCCAGCGCGACUGAGCUCACCACAAAUCACAUGUUGGUAUCACAUUUCGUCGCGUAUUUCCAUUUGAUAAUUUGUAAAUGUAAGAAAUGAAAACAGCAUCGAAAACAUGCUAUUAAACAAAGUCUAAUCGAUUUUUGUUCAGCUUGAACCAUAAGGUCAAUCGGUGUGUUGGUUUUCUGUGCAAAUAUCGUAAACACUCCGAAUUGUAAAAUAUUUGCAAAAAAACACGAUUUUAACAUAGAUACGAAUUUUAAAUGCGACACAUUAUAUACAUAUUCGGAAAAAGCACGAAAAAAUCUAUCUAUGUAGAAUAAUUAAACACUGAAAUUUUUUUAGUUUACAUUCAUUUAUCCAUUUUGAAAACAGCAUCUAGUUUUUCACUGGUUUUUAGAGGAAAAGUUGAACUAUGUUGCAAUGUCACGCUUCUCAAUUCAUUGUUUUUUCCACUAAAUACAGUACAAAAUAUUUGAUGCUUUCAU